rnacentral:rRNA from 1 species
GACGAACGCUGGCGGCGUGCCUAAUACAUGCAAGUAGAACGCUGAAGAGAGGAGCUUGCUCUUCUUGGAUGAGUUGCGAACGGGUGAGUAACGCGUAGGUAACCUGCCUUGUAGCGGGGGAUAACUAUUGGAAACGAUAGCUAAUACCGCAUAACAAUGGAUGACACAUGUCAUUUAUUUGAAAGUGGCAAUUGCUCCACUACAAGAUGGACCUGCGUUGUAUUAGCUAGUAGGUGAGGUAAUGGCUCACCUAGGCGACGAUACAUAGCCGACCUGAGAGGGUGAUCGGCCAAACGGGGACUGAGAAACGGCCCAGACUCCUACGGGAGGCAGCAGUAGGGAAUCUUCGGCAAUGGGGGCAACCCUGACCGAGCAACGCCGCGUGAGUGAAGAAGGGUUUCGGAUCGUAAAGCUCUGUUGUAAGUCAAGAACGGGUGUGAGAGUGGAAAGUUCACACUGUGACGGUAGCUUACCAGAAAGGGACGGCUAACUACGUG